GUUGGGGGUGAAAUCCCGGGGCUCAACCCCGGAACUGCCUCCAAAACUAUCAGUCUAGAGUUCGAGAGAGGUGAGUGGAAUUCCAAGUGUAGAGGUGAAAUUCGUAGAUAUUUGGAGGAACACCAGUGGCGAAGGCGGCUCACUGGCUCGAUACUGACAAC
rnacentral:rRNA from 1 species